rnacentral:tRNA from 1 species
GCCUGGCUAGCUCAGUCAAAAGAGCAUGUGACUUUUGAUCUCAAUGUUGUGAGUUCAAGCCCCAUGUUGGGUG